rnacentral:rRNA from 1 species
AUACAUAUUUAACGUGCCCCUAAGAGGGAGAUAGCCGCCUGAAAAGGCGAUUAAUACCCCAUAGGAGGGAUCCUCAUAAGAGGAUCCCUUUAAAGGCGAAAGCCGCUUAGGGAGCGGAAUAUGUUCUAUUAGCUAGUUGGCGGGAUAAAAGCCCACCAAGGCGAUGAUAGAUAGCUGGUCUUAGAGGAUGAACAGCCACAAUGGGAUUGAGAUACGGCCCAUAUUCCUACGGGAAGCAGCAGUAGGGAAUCUUCCACAAUGGGCGAAAGCCUGAUGGAGCAACGCCAUGUGAACGAUGAAGGCCUUUUGGUCGUAAAGUUCUUUUAGGGGGGAAAAUUAUGAUGGUACCUCCUGAAUAAGUGACAGCAAACUAUGUGCCAGCAGCUGCGGUAAUACAUAGGUCGCAAGCGUUAUUCGGAUUUAUUGGGCGUAAAGCAAGCGCAGGCGGAUGGAUAAGUUCUUUGUUAAAAGCAGCUGCUCAACAGUUGUUUGCACCGAAUACUAUCCAUCUAGAAUGUGGUAGAAAGUUUUGGAAUUGAAUAUGGAGCGGUGGAAUGUGUAGAUAUAUUCAAGAACACCAGAGGCGAAGGCGAAAACUUAGGCCAUUAUUGACGCUUAGGCUUGAAAGUGUGGGUAGCAAAUGGGAUUAGAUACCCCAGUAGUCCACACCGUAAACGAUGGGUAUUAGAUAUCGGGGUUUAAACUUCGGUGUUGUAGCUUACGUGUUAAAUACCCCGCCUGGGUAGUACAUAUGCAAAUAUGAAACUCAAAGGAAUUGACGGGGACCUGAACAAGUGGUGGAACAUGUUGCUUAAUUCGAUAAUACACGAAAAACCUUACCAAGGUUUGACAUCCCUCGCAAAACUGC